CAAUAGCGUAUAUUUAAGUUGUUGCAGUUAAAAAGCUCGUAGUUGGAUUUCGGGUGGGACGCAGCGGUCUCGCAUUGCGUUUGUACUGCUGCAGCCCUCCUUCUUGCCGGGGGCGGCCUCUCGGACUUCACUGUCUGGGGGUCAGAAUCGGCGAUGUUACUUUGAGUAAAUUAGAGUGUUCAAAGCAAGCUUACGCUCUGAAUAUAAUAGCAUGGGAUGACACGACAGGACUCUGGCCUAUCGUGUUGGUCUAUAGGACCAGAGUAAUGAUUAAGAGGGACAGUCGGGGGCAUUCGUAUUCCGUUGUCAGAGGUGAAAUUCUUGGAUUUACGGAAGACGAACAUCUGCGAAAGCAUUUGCCAAGGAUGUUUUCAUUGA
rnacentral:rRNA from 1 species